GACUCUAUAGCUCAGUUGGUUAGAGCGCUGCACAGGAAUAGCAGUGCUGCAGGUUCAAUUCCUGCCAGGGACC